rnacentral:rRNA from 1 species
AUGCGGUUGCAGUGGCGUGAUCCCCAUCGUGGGACGGUGCCUGCGGCUCGAUCCCCAUCGUGGGACGGUGCCUGUGGCGCGAUCCCCAUCGUGGGCAGUGGCGGCGGUGCGAUCCAAGGCGAGGGACGGUUCCGACGCCGGUUGGUAGCGGUGGGAGGCCCACCGGAGCAAGGGGCGGCGGGGGAAGGAAGUCAGGUGGCAUGCGGGAGGUUGGGUCAGCGACGCCUCGGGGCAGGGGAAGCGGGAGGGGGGCGGUAG